AAAUUUCUGAAUCCAUGCACAGAUUUCGUCAGACACCAGCCCAAUAGGGCUGGUCAGACUUCCAAGAUAAGUGAGGUU
rfam:Schistosoma haematobium scaffold41_1, whole genome shotgun sequence.